rnacentral:rRNA from 1 species
GACGAACGCUGGCGGCGUGCUUAGCACAUGCAAGUCGAACGGUAAGGCCCUUUCGGGGGUACACGAGUGGCGAACGGGUGAGUAACACGUGGGUGAUCUGCCCUGCACUUUGGGAUAAGCCUGGGAAACUGGGUCUAAUACCGGAUAGGACUACGCGAUGCAUGUCGUGUGGUGGAAAGCUUUUGCGGUGUGGGAUGGGCCCGCGGCCUAUCAGCUUGUUGGUGGGGUGAUGGCCUACCAAGGCGACGACGGGUAGCCGGCCUGAGAGGGUGUCCGGCCACACUGGGACUGAGAUACGGCCCAGACUCCUACGGGAGGCAGCAGUGGGGAAUAUUGCACAAUGGGCGCAAGCCUGAUGCAGCGACGCCGCGUGGGGGAUGACGGCCUUCGGGUUGUAAACCCCUUUCAGCACAGACGAAGCGUAAGUGACGGUAUGUGCAGAAGAAGCACCGGCCAACUACGUG